rnacentral:rRNA from 1 species
AGAAUGAACGCUGGCGGCAUGCCUAACACAUGCAAGUCGAACGAAGCCUUCGGGCUUAGUGGCGCACGGGUGCGUAACGCGUGGGAAUCUACCCUAGGGUUCGGAAUAACUCAGAGAAAUUUGAGCUAAUACCGGAUGAUGUCGCAAGACCAAAGAUUUAUCGCCCAAGGAUGAGCCCGCGUAGGAUUAGCUAGUUGGUGAGGUAAAGGCUCACCAAGGCGACGAUCCUUAGCUGGUCUGAGAGGAUGAUCAGCCACACUGGGACUGAGACACGGCCCAGACUCCUACGGGAGGCAGCAGUGGGGAAUAUUGGACAAUGGGACGAAAACCUGAUCCAGCAAUGCCGCGUGAGUGAUGAAGGCCUUAGGGUUGUAAAGCUCUUUACCGGGAUGAUAAUGACAGUACCGGAGAAUAAGCUCGGACUAACUCCGUGCCAGCAGCCG